ACGUUCCCGGGCCUUGUACACCCCGCCCGUCACACCAUGGGAGUGGGUUGCAAAAGAAGUAGGUAGCUUAACCUUCGGGAGGGCGCUUACCACUUUGUGAUUCAUGACUGGGGUGAAGUCGUAACAAGGUAACCGUAGGGGAACCUGCGGUUGGAUCACCUCCUUACCUUAAAGAAGC
rnacentral:rRNA from 1 species